GGUGGGAUGGCCGAGUGGUUAGGCAACGGUCUGCAAAACCGUUUACACGGGUUCGAUUCCCGUUCUCACCUCAA
rnacentral:tRNA from 1 species